rnacentral:tRNA from 1 species
GUGGUUGUGGAUCAGUGGUAGAGCACUCGCCUACCAUGUGUGAGGCACUGGGUUCAAUCCUCAGCACCACA